AUGGCCGUGUCCCCGAUGUCCCCGAUGUCCCCGAUGUCCCCGGCCAUGGCCAGGCCCCGGCUGCCAUCGGCCCUCGGGCUCCUGCUGCUGUGCCUGUGCCUCCCAGAUGCCUCCGGCCGCUGCGACCCCAACUCCCAGUUGGUCCCACUAACGGCCGGGGUGGAUCCCUGCAAGGAUCCCACCGGAUUCCUCAGCCCCCAGCUGGGCGGGGGCACAGCCGGAUCCUACGGAGGCGGAUCGGGAUCCUAUGGGAGUGGAUCGGGAUCCUACGGAGGCGGAUCGGGAUCCUACGGCGGAUCGGGAUCCUAUGGAGGCGGAUCGGGAUCCUAUGGAAGCGGAUCAGGAUCCUAUGGAAGCGGAUCGGGAUCCUACGGAGGCGGAUCGGGAUCCUACGGCGGAUCGGGAACAUCCCAGGGGGGUGGAAAGUUUCCAGGAUCCUUUGUGUCUCCGGGAUCUUCUGGGGGCAGGCCGGGAUCCUAUGGGAUCAGACCAGGAUCCCACGGGGACGGCUCGGGAUCCUUUGUGUCGCCGGGAUCUGGUGGGCCGUUGGGAUCCUACGGACACGGGUCUUACGGGGGCGGAUCGGGAUCCUACGGCGGCUCGGGAAUAUCCCAGGGAGGUGGAAAAUAUCCGGGAUCCUUUGUGUCACCGGGAUCUUCCGGGGGCAGGCCGGGAUCCUAUGGGAUCAGACCGGGAUCCCACGGGGACGGCUCAGGAUCCUUUGUGUCGCCGGGAUCUGGUGGGCCGUUGGGAUCCUACGGACACGGGUCUUACGGGGGCGGAUCGGGAUCCUACGGCGGCUCAGGAAUAUCCCAGGGAGGUGGAAAAUAUCCGGGAUCCUUUGUGUCGCCGGGAUCUUCCGGGGGCAGGCCAGGAUCCUAUGGGAUCAGACCGGGAUCCCACGGGGACGGCUCAGGAUCCUUUGUGUCACCGGGAUCUGGUGGGCCGUCGGGAUCCUACGGGGGUGGAUCCUAUGGAGGAUCCAGUUCGGGAUCCUACGGAAGCGGAUCCGGAUCAGGAAGACCUGGAUCCCAUGGGGGCAGCGGAUCCGGAUCGGGCAGACCUGGAUCCCAUGGGGGCAGCGGAUCUGGAUCGGGCAGACCCGGCUCAUCUCAAGGAGGAUCCAGUUCGGGAUCCUCUGGAAGCGGAUCAGGAUCAGGGAGACCCGGAUCCCAAGGAGGAAGUGAAUCUGGAUCCUAUGGAGGCGGGUCAGGAUCCUACGGGGGAUCCGGAUCCCAUGGGGGAUCCACUUCUUAUGGAGGACCUGGAUCCUACGGAGCUGUGCCGGAAUCCAUCAGGGGAUCCUACGGAGGAUCCAGUUCAGGAUUUGGCAGACCCGCAUCCCAGGGGGGCAGCGGAUCCGGAUCGGGAAGACCCGGAUCCGGAUCGUACGGGGGAUCAGGCUCCUAUGGGGGCAGCUCGGGAUCCUAUGGGUUCCCUGAUGUCUACGGGGAUGAUUCGGGAUCUUACGGGGGAUCGGGAUCCUACGGGGGUGGAUCAGGCUCCUACGGAGGAUUGGGAUCCUAUGGGGGUGGAUCGGGAUCCUACGGGGGAUCGGGAUCGUAUGGGGGUGGAUCGGGAUCCUACGGGGGUGGAUCGGGAUCCUAUGGGGGUGGAUCGGGAUCCUCUGGGGGAUCGGGAUCCCAUGGGGGUAACCGGCGCCCCGGGUACAAGAAUCCUGGGAUCCCCUACAUACCGGGGCUGCGGGAUCCCGCCCGGAUCGGGGGCUACAUCCCCAUCCGCCGGGUCCCCUCAGCGGGAUCCACUCAGGGAUACGGGGUGGGAUCCGGGAUGGGAUCUGGAUACGGCUCCAGUUCCGGGGUGGGAUCGGGGAUGGGAUCUGGAUACGGCUCCAGUUCCGGGGUGGGAUCCGGCUCCGGGGCGGGAUCCAGCUCGGGAUCUGCCACCUACAGCUCCGGGGCGGGAUCCAGCAGCGGAUCUGGGACGGGAUCCGGCAGCGGAUCCGGAGCGGGAUCCGGCCAAUCCCAGUCCAGCUGUGGGACCUGUGACAAAUAGGGACACCCAGAUCCCUCCUGGGGACGUGGGGGGAUCCCGUGUCCCAAUAAAGUCGUUGGAUGGCGGCA
rnacentral:lncRNA from 1 species